rnacentral:lncRNA from 1 species
GUGGGCCAGCCCCACCCCCCAAAGCUAUAGCCCACCCGUUUUUGUGGCCUUUUGCCGCUGGACGAAAUUGGCGCCCCGGCCUUCUAGCGGUUAUUUUUGGGCGCGGCUUUGUCCGCGGCCUAUUUUUGGCAUACGGAGGCCCCUCGCCAAGUCUCGCGGCAUUCCGAGUCCGGCGGACGAAGAUGGCCAGCCCCACCGCCCAAGGCUAUAGCCCACCCGUUUUUGUGGCCUUUUUGCGCUGGACGAACUUGGCGCCCCGGCCUUCGGGCUUUUAUUUUUGCGCACGGCUUUGCCCGCGGCCUAUUCUUGGCACACGGAGGCCCCUCGCAAAGUCUCGCGGCAUUCCGAGUCCGGCGGACGAAGUUUGCCAGCCCCACCCCCCAAGGCUAUAGCCCACCCGUUUUUGUGGCCUUUUUGCGCUGGACGAACAUGGCACCCCGGCCUUCGGGCGUUUAUUUUUGCGCGCGGCUUUGCCCGCGGCCUAUUUUUGGCACACGGAGGGACCUCGCAAAGUCUCGCGGCAUUCCGAGUCCGGCGGACGAAGUGGGCCAGCCCCACCCAAGGCUAUAGCCCACCCGUUUUUGUGGCCUUUUUCCACUGGACGAACUUGGCGCCCCGGCCUUCGGGCGUGUAUUUUUGGGCGUGGCUUUGCCCACGGCCUAUUUUUGGCACACGGAAGCGCCUCGCAAAGUCUCGCGGCAUUCCGAGUCCGUCGGACGAAGUUGGCCAGCCCCACCCCCCUAGGCUAUAGCCCACCGUUUUUGUGGCCUUUUUGCGCUGGACGAACUUGGCGCCCCGGCCUUCGGGCGGUUAUUUUUGGGCGCGGCUUUGCCCGCGGCCUAUGUUUGGCACACGAAGGGUCCUCACAAAGUCUCGCGGCAUUCCGAGUCAGGCAGACGAAGUGGGCCAGCCCCACCCCCCAAGGCUAUAGCCCACUCGUUUAUGUGGCCUUUUUCCGAUGGACGAACUUGGCACCCCGGCCUUCGGGUGGUUAUUUUUGGGCGCGGCUUUUCCCGCAGCCUAUGUUUGGCAUACGGAGGCCCCUCGCAAAGUCUCGCGGCAUUCCAAGUCCG